ensembl:lncRNA
AAGGAGACGAGAUCAGCACUUUGGACUGUAAGAUGUGCUGUAUAAUGUCUUUAUCAACUGCAUAGACAGUGGGAUCAAGUGCACCCUCAGCAAGUUUGCUGAUGACAGCAAACUGAGUGAUGAUGCAGUUGGUGCAAUAGAUGGAGGGAAUAUCAUCCCGAGCGUAGCAGAAAUGCUAAGUCAUGGCUCAAAGCAGUGAUUGAGCACCUGGUGGGAAGGCAGGGCCAAGCCAGGGGAGCUCAGGUGCAUGCAACAGACCUGAAUGAUUGGAAGUGCUGGAGCCAGGAUCCAUCCCUUCCCAGACCUCAUUUAAAGGUUGGCAGUGGAGGCAAGAGUAUCCUGCUGGAGAUGGCUGCAUACCUGAGGCUUUCUGUAGUUUCAGUCUUAGAAGAAGGCCAGGAAAAGGACUAAUAGAUGAGUGGAUCAGAGUGCAGAGUGUUUGGAUUUUCUUUGGAUUUCAUCUUACUCUGAAUCUGACAUGGUUACUUUACUGCCUCGUGAAAAGGAUUAAUAUUGGGCACAAAGAAAC